GCCGGAGUGGUGAAAUUGGUAUACACAGGAGACUCGCAAUCUCUCGGUUAAUGUAGUCACUACCUACAUGCCUUGUGGGUUCAAAUCCCACCUCCGGCACCA
rnacentral:tRNA from 1 species